rnacentral:rRNA from 1 species
UACGUAGGGUCCGAGCGUUGUCCGGAUUUAUUGGGCGUAAAGAGCUCGUAGGCGGCUUGCUAAGUCAGGUGUGAAACCUCCAGGCUCAACCUGGAGCCGCCACCUGAUACUGGUAUGGCUAGAGUCCGGUAGGGGACCACGGAAUUCCUGGUGUAGCGGUGAAAUGCGCAGAUAUCGGGAGGAACACCAGUGGCGAAGGCGACUACCCGGCCUGUUCUUGACGCUGAGGCGCGAAAGCUAGGGGAGCAAACGGG